GGGUCAUUACUAUCAGUGCCCAGGACUUAAUUGCACUGGUGUCUCUUUGAGGGAGCCACACACGUCAGUUUUGUCCCAGCAAGAGGCAAGAGGGCUGGAUAUUUUUCUAUCAAGUCCUGUCCUUCAUUGAUUGAGGGUUGCUUUGAGGACUUUAACUCCCUGGCACUUUCAUCCCUCCUGGCAUGCCCAGACUCUCCAAGACAUACUUAAGUCGGCAGAAAAAGCCCUCAGGUAGAGAGGAACAGAGAUAGUAAGAUAUCUACAUGGGAACUUCCUAUGACACUGCCAGUGACCUCUCGGGUGGGCCAAGUGGAUGUUGGUUGGCAUGAUGUGUGGUGGGAAGUUGGGUGUCAGAAGAAAAUGGGUCAGCUGGAGGCCAAUGAAUGGCUCUGUGAACUAGAGCUUGGCAUUUGCCAUCUCUUCUACAUGGAUUAAAAUCAUGUACCACUGCGGCUGCCAACCCAUGGUACCCGCUGAGCAGAGCUCAGUGUGGAGACCAGGAAUGAGGCACUCUGUGCUCUGGGAACAGAUAGUUAGAUGUUUCUAGGAGACUUUAUGAGCCCAAUUCCUGCAUCUUCUCAUAUCUAGAAAAACACUAAAAUCCUUCAAUGACGACUAGUAUCUGUGACUAGCAGUCACCUUCAUGAUACCGGCAGCAAACUUUAAAAUGUGUGUUUGGCUGCAUGCCCAUCCCCCUUCACCUUCGUGACUUAUAUCUUGGUAUUCCCCCUUUCCUCUUUGGGGCAGUAUUUCCUGGGCUGUGGUUAGUGGGUAAAUCUGGUUUUCUGUAAAUCUUUUGUUCCUACUACCUUCCUUUGUUGCAAGAACUCAUAUAUCUUAGCUCCUCCCUCCCCUCCUUGGAGUGGUUUCUCAGGGCUACCUGAGAUGCUGUUUCCGGGCUUAAGUCCCAAUUUCGCCCCCAAUAAAACUUAACUCUCAGCUUUCAGGUUGUGCAUUUUUUAAAAAAGCUCAGACUGGUUCAGGAUGAAUUUUCUGGAAAUGCCCAGGUACAGAAGAUCAAAUGUUUUCCUGACGGGUAUAACUUCAUCGUAGGGUCCAUAGAUGUGAUUGACUGUGGAUCACUGGGUUUUUCUUUGACCUUGACCAUCUCACUGGCUUGCCGUAUGCACUGGAAGACACGAUCUUCUAACUGUUUCAAAUACAAGAAGCCAAACCUGGCUUCCAUCAAGAGCUGGCAGCCCUGCCAUUUUCAGAAAGUGCUGGUGGCUGUGGCACCCAACCAGCAAAAAGGCGAUGGCGUUUGUCUUUUCCACUUUGCCCUUUACAAGGACGUUUCAGCUGAAGCAAAAAGGCUUUUUCCUUUGUCCUGGGUGUUUUAAUAGAAAUCUUGGUGACGUUAAGCCCUUUUAAUUCUGAGCACCAGCUUCUAAAGUUCAGGGACGAAAAAGCUCUCUUCAGCCACAGAGCAAACACAGUGGGUACCAAGGCGAGACUCUCAUCAUCAGGCACAGUGGAAUGAAAGUACAGCCGGGAGCCAGGUCGAUGACAGAGCGCCAUGGACAGUGUUUUUCUGUGGGGAGUGUGGGCUGAAGGAGGUUAUAUAAUCGCAUUUGCUUGUAUUUAUGUGACAAUCUCAUAAAAGUAACUAGGGACGGUUUAGGAGGGCCGACACAACAGUGAGUUUUUUUCUGUUUGUAACAUUUGCAUCAUUUUGAUUUAAAAAUCACACCAACCUGGAGUUCCUACUGUGGCUCAACAGAUUAAAAACCUGAUAUAGCAUCCACGAGGAUUCCAUCCCUGGCCUUGCUCAGUAGGGUAAGGGUCCAGCAUUGCUGCAAGCUGUGGCAUAGGUCACGGAUGCAGCUGGGAUCUGCUGUAGCUGUGGGUGGCUGUGGCAUAGGCUCCAGCUGCAGCUCUGAGUCGACCCCUGGCCUGGCAACUUCCAUAUACUGCAGGUGCGGCCCUUAAAAAAAAAAAAAAUUUUUUUUAAAUCACAUCAACAUAUUUCCAAUUCAGAUCAAGAAAAAGAACCGAAGCCCAGAAAAGAACAUAAUCAUUGGAGAACAAGCCUCUGUCCUAUGCCCAUGUUUACAAUCUUAGAAGGUAGCUUCAGAUGGGGAAAUGCAUUCCGCAAAAUGCAAAUAUCUGCACUUCGUGAUUCCUUUGCAAACACUGAGGGCGUGAGUGUUUUUAUUUGAUCGUGGAAAUUUUUUACAUCAGGGCUGUUAUCUACCACACAGGCAGCAGGGGGAAGCGUUUCUCUGUUUUUCUUUGUGACUUCCCCAUCGCCCCAACCUCUUUGGCAAAGCCAGCCAAGAUUUCUCUAAUUCCCAUCUAUGAUCGAAUGCACCGCAUUUUCUAGAUUAGUGUUGUUACGCCCUCAUCCCCCCAAAAUCUUUUGGGGACGUGAAGCUUCUAACAGGCUGCUUAAUGAUUAUUCAAAAGGGGCUGAUUAUUGGGUUUGCUGGUGUGAAGGUUUUCUUCCUUCUUCUCUCUCUCCCCCUGUUGUCAUUCCACUCAGCUCCCUGACAUCAAGUCACAGAAAAAGACCCUGAAAUUAUGAAAAUUCACAGCCCCCUCUCUCUCUCUUUUACUUUGCAGAUGGGAUUCAGAAUUGGGAAGGCAAAGUAAUCAUACCGAUAAAAAGAGGGAGGAUUUUGGACCUCCGUGAAGAUACUGAAGUGGGGGGGGGGGCAGGGAGAGAGGGUGUUUAUCUGCUUGCCUGGCUGGCACCGUAGCUGUCAUCGUUUCCUUACAUCUUCACCACGACAAGACUGUGUCAUUCGAGCCAUCUUGAGAAGGAGAAGAUGAAAGCUGGGAGGCCGUGAACAUCUCGCCCAGAUUUAUGUUGCUGCAAAAAGAAUUGAAAUUGGGAGGCAGAUUGCAUCCAAAGCUGGAAUAUUUCCAUGUGCUCUUCCCUACACCAUCCUAAAGACGUGGAAGGCAGGGCCUCCCCUCCCUUCCGUGCACCUUCUUGCCCCCACCCCUGUGGUCUCUGUAUCUGCACUAAGAUGAAUGUGCUCUGGCCUCUCCCACCUCACACAGAGCAAGGAGAAAAGGCAACAGCCUCAAAUCUGCCCAAUAUUCCACGGAAGCUGGUCUUUCUUCUACAUGGACAGUGAUUCCCUUUGAAAAGGCAGCAACAUUGAACUGCCCCAGGUCAGAGAUUCCUCGAGCUAUGGACUUGGGGAAGUGCUAGGGAGGCACUGUACCUUUUCUAAAUUGUUUUGGAGUAUUUUGUGCUAGUGUGCAUCUCUCUGGUGUGUGUGCAUACACACGCCUGUGUGUUUCUGUUGCCGAAACUCGGCCUCUGUCCACUGCUGUGGAAUAGAAACGGGGAGAUUUGGGUGAAGGAGAAAAAGGUAUUUAUUGCUUUGCCAGGCAAAGGGAAGCACAGGAGGCUAAUGUUUGAAGACUGCACCUCCGUAGGGAGAGAUUAGGAGGUGGUUUUUAGUUUGGGGUGUGGAAAAUAGGGCCCUAGAUAAGGAUCAGGGGAGAGACAAGCUUGCGUUGUCUUUCAAAGCUGGUGUUUAGUGACCCCAGGACUGGUUCUGGGGGUCCUCCUCCUUCCUGGAAUGAAGAAGCCUUCAUCAAGUUGUUCUUCCACUUACAGGGGUUUUAGUUCUGUGGAAAGGCUCAAAAAUGAUGUUACGUAUAUUCCCUGAGGAAGAACCAGGGCCCUGCCCCAAGGCUGCACUGUUGUCUCUUGACUGCUCCUCUCUGGUCUCUGCAUCCCUUCCCUGCCCUGAUGAGCAACUGCCCUUUGGAGCUCAGGAAAGGUCAUGGAGACUGAAGCAUAUUCCCUAAAGACGAGAAGUGGAGGACGCAGAGAGUCUUGAGUGCCCAGGAGCCUCGCAGGGCCCUGCUUGGUUACAUUUCUGAGUGCUCCUGUUUUCUCACCCCAGCUUCCUGGCUAUGCCCACCGAUGAAGGUGACAAUCACGAUGCAGAAAUGGACAGUGGGGAGCGUUGGAUGGAAUAAUUACAAUAGUGAACAAAGAACAGCGGUGAAGACAUUUUACCCAAACAUCUUACUUGCUGUUGGAAGUCUGGCUUGACCCAAUGUGAGGCCCUCUUCUCCAUUCCAGAUCCAGGACACCAUUCCCUGAAGGAGCCAUCAGGGGCCUGUGGGAUAGAGGCCAUUGCCGGGGAUGCCCUGAUAGAGGUAAGUGAAGCCCCAGAAGAUCAGCUUUGUCCAGGGGGCCAGGGGUCCUCAGGAUUAUAACAGCAGUGGACCCAGGAUGCUUCCCGUCUGGGAUCAGGGACUAUGGAAAACAAUGGAGUAGGACUCCAGGGACCAACAGAAAGAAACAUUCUACUGGGAAACAUGAGCGGCAGUCCUGGGCCUUUCACAUGUCAUUUUUUUUUUCCACGGAUGAGUCACAUAUGUUAUUGAAGCAUCAGUUUUCUCAUCUUCAAAAUGGAGUCCGUACUUACCUUUUUGUCUCUCUUACCCUCCACAACACCACAGACUCCAACAGGCAGGGACUAUAUUUUAUUUUCAGCGUCCCAAUUACAUCCAGCUCAUGGUAUAUUACCUGGCACCUUGUAGCCACGAUAACUACUUGUUGAAAACUAAAGUGAGUGUAGGAGUUCCUGUCAUGGCUCAGUGGUUAAUGAACCUUACUAGUAUCUAUGAGGAGGUGGGCUCGAUCUCUGACCUUGUUCAGUGGGUUAAGGAUCUGGUGUUGCUGUGAGCUGUGGGGUAGGUCGUAAAUGCAACUCAGAUCCCCCGUUGUUGUGGCUGUGGUGUAGGCUGGCAUGUAGCUGUUUCGACCCCUAGCCUGGAAACCUCUAUAUGAUGUGGGUGCAGCCCCAAAAAGACCAAAACAAAUUAAAGUGAGUGUAACAUAAGAAAGCAUAGAUAUAAAUGUUUGUAAACUUCAGGUAUAACAACAAUGUUCUCACCACCUCCAAGAUUAGCAUCCGUUUCUAUGCUUAGCAGGCAUACAGUUUGUGUUGGCUGAUAGCCUCCACAUCCUCUGUGCAAUGUAGAGCAUAUUGUGAGGUUGUUUUCAUCAAAAAUACGGAAUAUUUUCAAGCAGGAGAGCACCUGUCCUGUGUCAGACCGUACCUAUAAAUCUCCAGGUUGUCUAAGGUCUGAUGGCAGGUAGGUAACAUGCAGGUCUCUACCUGCUCCCUCUGUACUCAGAGAACAUAUUGCUUAAGACGCUUUCCUGCUGAGCCUGAACGUGGCUUCCACAUUCUUCUCUCCUGCUGUAAAAAUAGGGCUGUCCUUAUCCUUCAACCCAAACAAAUAUCUCAAAGAAUUAUGAUUUGGUUUUGCUGCUAGGAAAAAA
rnacentral:lncRNA from 1 species